rnacentral:rRNA from 1 species
AGCUUAUUUCGCGCAGCUUAGGUGGGAGACGUUGAACCUUUUCUUCCGGGAAAGGGGGAGUCAUCAGUGAGAUACCACUCUUGGUAAGCUAGAGCGCUCAUUUUUAACCGUUAUCCGGUAAAAAGACAGUUUCAGGCGGGCAGUUUGACUGGGGCAGUCACCUCCCAAAAGGUAAUGGAGGUGUACAAAGGUUCUCUCAGGCUGGACGGAAAUCAGCCAUAGAGUGUAAAAGCAUAAGAGAGCUUGACUGCGAGACGGACAUGUCAAGCAGAGACGAAAGUCGGUUUUAGUGAUCCGACGGUGCUGAGUGGAAAGGCCGUCGCUCAACGGAUAAAAGUUACUCUAGGGAUAACA